UUUCUUGGCUACUGAUGGUGGCCAUUUAGUGUACCUAGAAAUUGGUGAUGGGAUAUUGACAGAAGUGAAACAUGCACAAUUGGAGUAUGAUAUAUCAUGCCUUGAUAUAAAUCCCAUUGGUGAAAAUCCCAACUACAGUCAGCUAGCUGCGGUGGGAAUGUGGACUGAUAUGUGUUAGAAUAUUUUCUCUACCUAACUUGAAUCUCAUUACAAAGGAAAAUUUGGGGGGAGAGAUUAUACCACGCUCUGUUCUUUUAUGUUCGUUUGAAGGGUCGAGAGAGUACACAACAACAACAACAUGUAGACCAGAACAAUGCUUCCAUGGAAUUGAUCAAUAGUGUGAUUGGCACUGAUGAGGAGAGUCGGUCUCGGCAACGGAUUCUUACAUUUGCUGCCAGGAGGUAGUCAUUGAUUUUGAAUUAUGAAUUAUCAGCUUGUUUGGCAUUACUUGUACCUUUGUUUCUUUUCAAAUUUUAUAAUAAGACGUUGAGUUGUAUGCUUCUAGAAUAUCACACAAAAAUUAUGGCAAAGAAGUAAAUUAUGACAAAAAUACAU